AAAUGCCUACAAAUUAGCAUUAAUGCAUUGGAUCCCAUUAGAACUCCAUAGUUAAGCGCGCUCGAGCUAGAGUAGUAUUGGGAUGGGUGACCACCUGGGAAGUCCUAGUAUUUUACAUGCC
rnacentral:rRNA from 1 species